AUAAUGGGUCAGCGACUUAUAUUCUGUAGCAAGGUUAACCGAAUAGGGGAGCCGAAGGGAAACCGAGUCUUAACUGGGCGUUAAGUUGCAGGGUAUAGACCCGAAACCCGGUGAUCUAGCCAUGGGCAGGUUGAAGGUUGGGUAACACUAACUGGAGGACCGAACCGACUAAUGUUGAAAAAUUAGCGGAUGACUUGUGGCUGGGGGUGAAAGGCCAAUCAAACCGGGAGAUAGCUGGUUCUCCCCGAAAGCUAUUUAGGUAGCGCCUCGUGAAUUCAUCUCCGGGGGUAGAGCACUGUUUCGGCAAGGGGGUCAUCCCGACUUACCAACCCGAUGCAAACUGCGAAUACCGGAGAAUGUUAUCACGGGAGACACACGGCGGGUGCUAACGUCCGUCGUGAAGAGGGAAACAACCCAGACCGCCAG
rnacentral:rRNA from 1 species